UACAGAGGGGGCAAGCGUUGUUCGGAAUUACUGGGCGUAAAGGGCGCGUAGGCGGCCUGCUAAGUCGAACGUGAAAUCCCGGGGCUCAACCCCGGAACUGCCCUUGAAACUGCAGUGCUAGAAUCUUGGAGAGGCGAGUGGAAUUCCGAGUGUAGAGGUGAAAUUCGUAGAUAUUCGGAAGAACACCAGUGGCGAAGGCGACUCGCUGGACAAGUAUUGACGCUGAGGUGCGAAAGCGUGGGGAGCAAACAGG
rnacentral:rRNA from 1 species